CCUGGUGUCAGCCGCCGCGGUAAUACCAGCUCUCCGAGUGGUGGGAUGCUUAUUGGGCCUAAAGCAUUCGUAGCCGGUUGGGCAAGUCCUCCGUUAAAUCCAGCGAUUCAAUCGUUGGACUGCAGGGGAUACUGUCCGGCUAGGGGGCGGAAGAGGCCGACGGUAUUCUCGGAGUAGGGGUGAAAUCCUAUAAUCCCGGGAGGACCACCAGUGGCGAAGGCUGUCGGCUAGAACGCGCCCGACGGUGAGGGAUGAAAGCUGGGGGAGCGAACCGGAUUAGAUACCCGGGUAGUCCCAGCUGUAAACGAUGCAGGCUAGGUGUUGGCGCGGCUACGUGCCGCUCCAGUGCCGCAAGGAAGCCGUUAA
rnacentral:rRNA from 1 species